CGCCUUUAAGCAUAAACUGGAACAGUGAUGCGCCAUUUUUGCCAGCCGAUCCGGAAAAGAAGGAGACCGGCCAACACGGCGAGGGUGUGGCCUGUGGGCUGUGCUGAGUGCAGGCGGGCGGCCCCCGAGGAUGGCGAUCCCCUGAGAUGCAGCAAACGCAGGGCCCGCCUUUGUCGGCUGCUGGCUUUCUGCACAGAGGUGUGGCCACAUCAUCAUUUCUAGCAGCAAAAAAUCAACCUCAUCCUAACGACCCGCCUCGGGGAACAGUUAAGGAACAAGGAUCCAGAGCUGAUGGACUAUAAGCAAGAAGGAAAAUAAAGCUCACAGUGACUCCAUUAAAACACGAGAAAACGCACAAUAUGCUGUGAAGUGACAGCAAGCACACCAUUUUCUACCCUGUGAGGAUUUCCACGCCCAUAAACACAAGCAUAUGUGCGUAGAUAUAACAUCCUCUCCACAUUCACUGGAAGAAUGUGCAACAGAACGCUACAGUUAAUAGGAACCAGAUGCAAACCUUCAGGCAAGCACUCAUUGUCCAGUGGUCUGGUUCCCAUUUACGCAUUUGCUCGCUGAGCUAGAGAUCGAUCAGCACCAGCCGCGUCCCAGGCGGGAGAAGGUAGCAUCGGCGGAGGUCGCGUCCCCUUUGGAGACUUGGCCCCGUGGCUGCUCUCGGCGGUGAAGCCUCUGUGAGGGAAGUUUUUACCUUUUCAGCACCCGCAGCAGAUAAAGAUGGGCAAACAGGGAUUGAAAAUCAAAACUAAAACUUCUAUGUCCACCCUCACCCACUCCACAGAAAUAAAAAAUGCAAGGAUGUGUGGUUCCAACUCCAUGACAUCCUGGCAAGGGCACAACGAUGGAGACAGGAGAAAGAUCAGUGGUUGCCAGGGGAGGGCGAAGGAGGGACGAGUGGGCGGAGCACAGAGGGUUUUAGGGCUGUGAAACAGCUCUGUCUGAGACAUGUCAUGACACAUGAGGAUGGACACAUGUCGCUAUACAUUUGUCAAAACCGAC
rnacentral:lncRNA from 1 species